UGACAAAGGUUCGUAACGAUACUUUCUUAACCGAAUGCUUGCAUUCACCGUAAGAAGUUGAGUGGCGGACGGGUGAGUAACACGUGGGUAACCUGCCUAAAAGAAGGGGAUAACACUUGGAAACAGGUGCUAAUACCGUAUAUCUCUAAGGAUCGCAUGAUCCUUAGAUGAAAGAUGGUUCUGCUAUCGCUUUUAGAUGGACCCGCGGCGUAUUAACUAGUUGGUGGGGUAACGGCCUACCAAGGUGAUGAUACGUAGCCGAACUGAGAGGUUGAUCGGCCACAUUGGGACUGAGACACGGCCCAAACUCCUACGGGAGGCAGCAGUAGGGAAUCUUCCACAAUGGACGCAAGUCUGAUGGAGCAACGCCGCGUGAGUGAAGAAGGUCUUCGGAUCGUAAAACUCUGUUGUUAGAGAAGAACACGAGUGAGAGUAACUGUUCAUUCGAUGACGGUAUCUAACCAGCAAGUCACGGCUAACUACGUGCCAGCAGCCGCGGUAAUACGUAGGUGGCAAGCGUUGUCCGGAUUUAUUGGGCGUAAAGGGAACGCAGGCGGUCUUUUAAGUCUGAUGUGAAAGCCUUCGGCUUAACCGGAGUAGUGCAUUGGAAACUGGAAGACUUGAGUGCAGAAGAGGAGAGUGGAACUCCAUGUGUAGCGGUGAAAUGCGUAGAUAUAUGGAAGAACACCAGUGGCGAAAGCGGCUCUCUGGUCUGUAACUGACGCUGAGGUUCGAAAGCGUGGGUAGCAAACAGGAUUAGAUACCCUGGUAGUCCACGCCGUAACGAUGAAUGCUAGGUGUUGGAGGGUUUCCGCCCUUCAGUGCCGCAGCUAACGCAAUAAGCAUUCCGCCUGGGGAGUACGACCGCAAGGUUGAAACUCAAAGGAAUUGACGGGGGCCCGCACAAGCGGUGGAGCAUGUGGUUUAAUCUCGUAGCAACGCGAAGGACCCUUACAAGGUCUUGACAUCCUUUGACCACCUUAAGAAAAUUAGGCUUUCC
rnacentral:rRNA from 1 species